GUUCCCCUGGACCCCUCUCCCCCUCCGUCCGUUUCCUCACCGACGCCCACCGACGCUCGCCGUCGAGCGCCCACGGGCACACUGUGGCCGACCGAGCUUUAAUGGCGCUCGGCUUCUUCCUCUGCUUCUCCUUUGGCCUCCUCCUCCCCGUGAGCUCCCCUCUGUCCCUCCCUCGUCGCCUGCCUCCGAGCCAUGCACACGCACACGCGUCCGCGGCGCCGGCCACCCGUCCGCGGCGACGACAGCUCGGCACCUCACCCCGCGCCUACAAAGACCACCCCGAGCCCUCCCGAGCACCUCAUCAGCCUCGCCUCACACCCAGCUCCCUCACCGUCCACUCACCCGAGCUCCGGAGCCACCACACCUCGCCCAUGCCCGCCGUGUCCACCCUCGGCCUCCUCCUAAAUUCGCGGCCACAAGAGCCCUACUGUUCCCCUAGCCACCACCAUAGGCUUCCCCGGAGUCCGGCGAACCUCCCUGCCCUCUCAGCCCGUCGCCGGAGCAUCUGUUGUCGUCGUCCCCAAGCUUAGUCGCCGCCGCCGUGCUCUCUGUGGCUGCGAGCCGCCAUGACCCCGCUCUUCCUCAGUGCCCCCAACCGGUUUAGGCGAGCGCGGCGCUUCCCCCUGGUACCGCCGGCAGCAUCUCCCUCGCCGGGGACCACUGGAGUCGCCGGAGCCAGACGCCGGCCGAGCCCAGCCCCACCUCUCCUCUGUUCUUCGUCGGGCGCAAGGAAGAAGCCAGACGAGAAGAGAGAGAGAAGGAGAUGGAUAAGGCGGGCCCCUCUCGUCAGCCGCACAGCUCCAUGGGCCACCACUGCCACGCUGGAUAAGUGGAAACGUACUUCGUGGGAGUACGUAUUCCUCUUCAGAAAGCUUAUUCCUCUUCUGCUCCCGCUAUAGGUCCCUGGCAGAAAACACUUCAUAACUUUUUGCUCGGAACUCCGAUUGAGCCCCUUUCGAGAGAGAAGUGUUUCCGGCGAAUCUUUCUGCGAUCUUUCCGCACAACUUCCCGGUGUUUUCUUCAUCCCCAGGCAAGCCAAAAUACCCACUUGCAUGAUAUUAAUGUAGUAGCCAUGGUUUUCAACUUGAAUAUUUAAUAAAUGUUUGCUUGUUUAAAAUAUGGUUAUCGUUGUUUCGGUAAUGCUUCUGGGUUAGUGCUUACUUUCUUGCUAUGUUGUUAUGCACCUGGUUGUCAUGCCCUGCUAGUUGCUAGUAUUUCUUUCAUAUGCUUAUGAUUGCUAGUAGUACAUGUUGAUGUUGGUGAUGGCCUUCGGUGCAUGACUAACGUCUGUUCCGAGCGCCGUCGUUAUGCAUGUCCCUUUGCAUCCAGUUGGUUAAAUGAUUGCAUGGUAGCAUUGUUGAUAUGUCUUGCAUGAUAUUUAUUGUUGAUGCUAGUGGUCAUUCUAGGUUUCUAUGAGUAGUGUUGUACUUGUGAUAUUCAUGCUCGUCAUUAUACUAUGCUCAGUUGGAUAUGAUUCAUUGUGGAUAUGGUGGAUAGUUAUGUUGCACCCCGUGCUUAUGUUGAUAACAUGUUCAUGCAUUGUAAUUGCAUCAUGUUAUGUUAUCAUGGCUCAGCAUAUUGCAUUCAAGUUUAACCGGAUUAAAUUGAACUUGAACAACUGCUGGCUGAGUCAUGGUGCCACCAUAUCGAGCUAACCAGUGCUACCACGCUUACCUUUAUGGGAAGGUCCUAACUGGGUCUAUUGUCGUGCCUCUCGCCGGUGCCUCCAACGAGGGAAGGUUAUGGGCGUGCGUACCCUGGCCCGGUAAGCAGACAUAACCUUGUGUGCC